rnacentral:rRNA from 1 species
UCGGUUAGUCGGCACGAGCGCACCUUAUCUUCAGUUACUAACAGGUUAUGCUGAGGACUCUGGAGAAACUGCCGUUGGAAAAGCGGAGGAAGGCGAGGAUGACGUCAAGUCCUCAUGGCCCUCAUGGGCUGGGCUACACACGUGCUACAAUGGUAAUUACAAUAGGUCGCGAAAAGGCAACUUUGAGCUAAUCUUCAAAAAUUAUCUUAGUUCGGAUUGUUCUCUGCAACUCGAGAGCAUGAAGUUGGAAUUGCUAGUAAUCGUGGAUCAGCAUGCCACGGUGAAUACGUUCCCGGGUCUUGUACACACCGCCCGUCACACCAUGGGAGUUGGUUUUACCUGAAGCCGAUUUUUAAUCGUCCACGGCAAGGUCAGCGACUGGGGUGAAGUCGUAACAAGGUAGCCGUAGGGGAACCUGCGGCUGGAACACCUCCUUUCU